rnacentral:lncRNA from 1 species
ACGCCUUAUAAUUUAUUACUACAUUUUAUCUUACCAUUUAAUAUAACAAUUCUUUUACAAAUAAAUAGUUUUUCACUUUUCAUUUAAUAUAACGAAUUUUUAAACUUACAACCCAAAAAACUUAAACAUGAACACAAGAUAAAAACAGAACAAACGGAAAUUAAAGUUAGAAACAAUCGAAUUCGUUAAUAAUGGAAGAAAAAUUCGUGGAUUGAAAGAGAAAAAUGAAACUCACCGAAAGUGGAUUCGGCUGGUAGGUGGAUCUCGUGAAAAACUGAAUUGUAAUUCACAUUGAUCCUGAUUGUGGAUCCACCAACUCCGUCAGUCUCGGCUUUUGUGUCCGGCGAGAUUUCCGCUGACUUUGACGGCGAUAUCUUGACUGAUUGUACCGGCGGCGGGACGCCGGCAGUGUCUGACAAGUUGUCCAUGAAAAGAGGCGGUUGAGUAAAACGCAGAGGAACGGUUCGUUUUGUGAAAAGGGAGUUGUGAAUUGUGAUGAUGAUAUACAGUGU